GAUGAACGCUGGCGAUAUGCUUAACACAUGCAAGUCGUACGAAGAUAAAAUUGUGCUUGCACGAUUUUAUACUUAGUGGCGGACGGGUGAGUAACACGUAAGAAUCUACCUUUUGGCGAGGGACAACCACUGGAAACGGUGGCUAAUACCUCAUAUAACUGAGAAGUGAAAGAUGAAAAUCACCAAGAGAUGAGCUUGCGUCUGAUUAGCUAGUUGGUAAGGUAAAGGCUUACCAAGGCGACGAUCAGUAGCUGGUCUGAGAGGAUGAUCAGCCACACUGGGACUGAGACACGGCCCAGACUCCUACGGGAGGCAGCAGUGAGGAAUUUUCCGCAAUGGGCGAAAGCCUGACGGAGCAAUACCGCGUGAAGGAUUAAGGCCUAUGGGUUGUAAACUUCUUUUCUCAGAGAAGAAUUUUGACGGUAUCUGAGGAAUAAGCAUCGGCUAACUCUGUG
rnacentral:rRNA from 1 species